rnacentral:rRNA from 1 species
GAUGAACGCUAGCGGCAGGCCUAACACAUGCAAGUCGAGGGGAAGUUACUUUCGGGUAACUGAGACCGGCGUACGGGUGCGUAACGCGUAUACAAUCUGCCUUUCACUGGGGGAUAGCCCGAAGAAAUUUGGAUUAAUACCCCAUAGUAUAGUAGUGUGGCAUCACACAACUAUUAAAGCUUAGGUGGGGAAAGAUGAGUAUGCGUUCUAUUAGCUAGUUGGAGAGGUAACGGCUCCCCAAGGCUAUGAUAGAUAGGGGUUCUGAGAGGGAUGUCCCCCACACUGGUACUGAGAUACGGACCAGACUCCUACGGGAGGCAGCAGUGAGGAAUAUUGGACAAUGGUCGGAAGACUGAUCCAGCCAUGCCGCGUGCAGGAUGAAGGUCUUAUGGAUUGUAAACUGCUUUUGUAAGGGAAGAAUAAGGACUACGUGUAGUUUGAUGACGGUACCUUAUGAAUAAGCAUCGGCUAACUCCGUG